rnacentral:rRNA from 1 species
GACUUCAGGAAGGGGUGUAUUUAUUAGAUAAAAAACCAACGCCCUUCGGGGCUCCUUGGUGAAUCAUAAUAACUUAACGAAUCGCAUGGCCUUGCGCCGGCGAUGGUUCAUUCAAAUUUCUGCCCUAUCAACUUUCGAUGGUAGGAUAGUGGCCUACCAUGGUGGCAACGGGUAACGGGGAAUUAGGGUUCGAUUCCGGAGAGGGAGCCUGAGAAACGGCUACCACAUCCAAGGAAGGCAGCAGGCGCGCAAAUUACCCAAUCCCGAUACGGGGAGGUAGUGACAAUAAAUACUGAUACGGGGCUCUUUUGGGUCUCGUAAUUGGAAUGAGAACAAUUUAAAUCCCUUAACGAGGAACAAUUGGAGGGCAAGUCUGGUGCCAGCAGCCGCGGUAAUUCCAGCUCCAAUAGCGUAUAUUAAAGUUGUUGCAGUUAAAAAGCUCGUAGUUGAACCUUGGGUCUGGCUGGCCGGUCCGCCUCACCGCGAGUACUGGUCCGGCUGGACCUUUCCUUCUGGGGAACCUCAUGGCCUUCACUGGCUG